AUUGAACGCUGGCGGCAGGCCUAACACAUGCAAGUCGAACGAGUGGCGGACGGGUGAGUAAUGUCUGGGAAACUGCCCGAUGGAGGGGGAUAACUACUGGAAACGGUAGCUAAUACCGCAUACCAUCGGAUGUGCCCAGAUGGGAUUAGCUAGUAGGUGGGGUAAAGGCUCACCUAGGCGACGAUCCCUAGCUGGUCUGAGAGGAUGACCAGCAACACUGGAACUGAGACACGUUCCAGACUCCUACGGGAGGCAGCAGGGGGGAAUAUUGCACAAUGGGCGCAAGCCUGAUGCAGCCAUGCCGCGGGUGUGAAGAAGGCCUUCGGGUUGUAAAGCACUUUCAGCGGGGAGGCGUUACCCGCAGAAGAAGCACCGGCUAACUCCGUGCCAGCAGCCGCGGUAAUUC
rnacentral:rRNA from 1 species